UCUGGUGUUAGCAUGUAUCAGAAAGAAGAGGAACAAAACCAUGGUGCCUGUUGAGGAAAACAAUAUGCCUUGUGGACUACUUUUUGGCUACUGUUGUAGAAACUGCAGAAUUGAGAAUGGGGGUAGAUGCCUUUUAUAACCAAACAUGGCUCCACUUAAGUACACCUCAUAUCCUAGUAUUGUUUAAGUAAACCCCCAGUGAUGGAGUGUCUCGAUGAUGGUCUUAGUCAUGUUGUUUAGUUUUAGGUAGACUUAUGAGAAGCACAGAGUUUGACUCGAUGAUCCUUAUAGUUCCCUUCCAACUUGGGAUAUUCUAUGAUUCUAUGAUUGUACAUGAUAAGUACUUUUAAAAAAAAACAGUGCUGAGGGUUCCCUCUCCCUUCCCCUCUGUGUAAGACACUGCUGCAUUAGAUAACUCUGACAUUAUUGAACUUCCAGCUAGAUUAAUUAUAUUUGUACUAGAAGGACAAGGUAGUUACAUACUAUGACCCUCCAUAUAACUGGAAUUUAAGGCAGGAGUUGUAUUGUUCCUCUAGGCUAACUCAGUCAUUUUGAGUUUAAAAGGAAAUUCAUGAAGUCUCAAGGACUGGACAGGAUUUUAAAAAAUAAAAGGAAUGAGUUUAAAUGAAUUUUUAAUCUUUUACAUGUUAAAUCAUAUUCCUUAAGAGAAAUGUUUGUGGAGUAAUCUUAUCUGAGCUGUUGGGAAAUUUCAUAAUCACUGAACUUGUGUAGUUUUAUCUUUAAAAGAAAAUACAUAUAUGGUUUACAUGGAUGUAUUUUGGUCAUGUUGGUAAAAUCCUUAAUUCUGCAGAAGUGUGCUAUUCUGAAAAAGAAAUAAAUAUCAGAAUAGGAAGUAACAAAA